CGGCGGACGGGUGAGUAAUGCUUAGGAAUCUGCCUAUUAGUGGGGGACAACAUUCCGAAAGGAAUGCUAAUACCGCAUACGUCCUACGGGAGAAAGCAGGGGACCUUCGGGCCUUGCGCUAAUAGAUGAGCCUAAGUCGGAUUAGCUAGUUGGUGGGGUAAAGGCCUACCAAGGCGACGAUCUGUAGCGGGUCUGAGAGGAUGAUCCGCCACACUGGGACUGAGACACGGCCCAGACUCCUACGGGAGGCAGCAGUGGGGAAUAUUGGACAAUGGGGGGAACCCUGAUCCAGCCAUGCCGCGUGUGUGAAGAAGGCCUUUUGGUUGUAAAGCACUUUAAGCGAGGAGGAGGCUACUAGUAUUAAUACUACUGGAUGGUGGACGUUACUCGCAGAAUAAGCACCGGCUAACUCUGUGCCAGCAGCCGCGGUAAUACAGAGGGUGCGAGCGUUAAUCGGAUUUACUGGGCGUAAAGCGUGCGUAGGCGGCUGAUUAAGUCGGAUGUGAAAUCCCUGAGCUUAACUUAGGAAUUGCAUUCGAUACUGGUCAGCUAGAGUAUGGGAGAGGAUGGUAGAAUUCCAGGUGUAGCGGUGAAAUGCGUAGAGAUCUGGAGGAAUACCGAUGGCGAAGGCAGCCAUCUGGCCUAAUACUGACGCUGAGGUACGAAAGCAUGGGGAGCAAACAGGAUUAGAUACCCUGGUAGUCCAUGCCGUAAACGAUGUCUACUAGCCGUUGGGGCCUUUGAGGCUUUAGUGGCGCAGCUAACGCGAUAAGUAGACCGCCUGGGGAGUACGGUCGCAAGACUAAAACUCAAAUGAAUUGACGGGGGCCCG
rnacentral:rRNA from 1 species